CUAAGAAUCUUCCGCAAUGGGGGAAACCCUGACGGAGCGACGCCGCGUGGACGAUGGAGGCCGUAAGGUUGUAAAGUCCUUUUCCUGGUGAAGAAUAGCCCGAGGAGGGGAAAGCCUCGGGGAUGACGUUAGCCAGGGAAUAAGCCCCGGCCAAUUACGUGCCAGCAGCCGCGGUAAUACGUAUGGGGCAAGCGUUGUUCGGAGUUAUUGGGCGUAAAGGGCGUGUAGGCGGCUCAUCAAGUCUGGUGUGAAAAUGCAGGGCCCAACCCUGCAGAUGCGCUGGAAACUGGUGGGCUAGAGUUCCUGAGGGGAAGCUGGAAUUCCAGGUGUAGGAGUGAAAUCUGUAGAUAUCUGGAAGAACACCGGUGGCGAAGGCGAGCUUCUAUCAGAGGACUGACGCUGAGGCGCGAAAGCGUGGGGAGCAAACAGG
rnacentral:rRNA from 2 species